ACGAACGCUGGCGGCGUGGAUUAGGCAUGCAAGUCGGACGGUAGGGCUUUAUCGUAAGAUAGAGUUUGAGAGUGGCGAACGGGUGAGUAACACGUAGGAAUCUACCCUUAAGACGGGGACAACCCAGGGAAACUUGGGCUAAUACCGGAUGAGAGUGCGAGAGAUUGCAUUUAAAAGGAUGGCGAAAGUUGUCGCUUAGGGAUGAGCCUGCGGUCUAUUAGUUAGUUGGUGAGGUAAGAGCUCACCAAGGCGAUGAUAGAUAGGCGGCCUUAACGGGUGGUCGCCCACACUGGGAUUGAGAUACGGCCCAGACUCCUACGGGAGGCAGCAGUCGAGAAUAGUCUACAAUGGCCGGAAGGCUGAUAGUGCGACGCCGCGUGAACGAGGGAGCCCUUCGGGGUGUAAAGUUCUUUUCUAUACGAGCAGUGCUAUAUAUAUGGAUAGUAUAUAUAGAGGGAUAGUAGUAUAGGAAUAAGCAACGGCUAACUCCGUGCCAGCAGCCGCGGUAACACGGGGGUUGCGAGCGUUGUCCGGAAUUACUAGGCGUAAAGGGCAGGUAGGCGGAUCUACGAGUUUUUUGUUAAAGGCUACGGCUCAACUGUAGUAGAGCAGGAGAUACUGUAGGUCUGGAAUGCGGUAGGGGAAGACAGAAUUCCUGGUGUAGCGGUGGAAUGCGCAGAGAUCAGGAGGAAUACCGAAGGCGAAGGCAGUCUUCUAGGCCGUAAUUGACGCUUAACUGCGAAGGUGUGGGGAUCAAACAGGAUUAGAUACCCUGGUAGUCCACACAGUAAACGAUAAUCACUAGAUGUCGGGUUCUAGAUGGAUUCGGUGUCGGAGCCAACGCGAUAAGUGAUUCGCCUGGGGAGUACGAUCGCAAGGUUGAAACUCAAAGGAAUUGACGGGGGCCCGCACAAGCAGUGGAGCAUGUGGUUCAAUUCGAUGCAACGCGAAGAACCUUACC
rnacentral:rRNA from 1 species